rnacentral:ncRNA from 1 species
AUAUUCGCGGCGAAAUCUGGUUCGGCUUUGCCGAUGAAAAGGGAACCGGGUGUAAAACCCGGGCUGUACCCGCAACUGUAAACUUAGUCCCGCUCCGUUUGAGGAGUCUGUAGGGAUGCCUGUUGUAAUUACUGCGUUGCCACUGUUCCGCCCCCGAUAAUGACGGGAGUACAUGGAAUGGGAAGGCCUGCAACAGGACGUAAGCCAGGAGACCUGCCAGAACGCGAAUCGAUGU